rfam:Camelus ferus unplaced genomic scaffold scaffold1197, whole genome shotgun sequence.
GAAAGUAUAGCUCAGUGGUAGAGUGUGCACUUAGCAUACACAAGGUCCUGGGUUCAAUCCCUAGUACCUCUA